rnacentral:rRNA from 1 species
UGAACGCUAGCUACAGGCUUAACACAUGCAAGUCGAGGGGCAGCAUGGUCUUAGCUUGCUAAGGCCGAUGGCGACCGGCGCACGGGUGAGUAACACGUAUCCAACCUGCCGUCUACUCUUGGACAGCCUUCUGAAAGGAAGAUUAAUACAAGAUGGCAUCAUGAGUCCGCAUGUUCACAUGAUUAAAGGUAUUCCGGUAGACGAUGGGGAUGCGUUCCAUUAGAUAGUAGGCGGGGUAACGGCCCACCUAGUCUUCGAUGGAUAGGGGUUCUGAGAGGAAGGUCCCCCACAUUGGAACUGAGACACGGUCCAAACUCCUACGGGAGGCAGCAGUGAGGAAUAUUGGUCAAUGGGCGCAGGCCUGAACCAGCCAAGUAGCGUGAAGGAUGACUGCCCUAUGGGUUGUAAACUUCUUUUAUAAAGGAAUAAAGUCGGGUAUGGAUACCCGUUUGCAUGUACUUUAUGAAUAAGGAUCGGCUAACUCCGUGCCAGCAGCCGCGGUAAUACGGAGGAUCCGAGCGUUAUCCGGAUUUAUUGGGUUUAAAGGGAGCGUAGAUGGAUGUUUAAGUCAGUUGUGAAAGUUUGCGGCUCAACCGUAAAAUUGCAGUUGAUACUGGAUAUCUUGAGUGCAGUUGAGGCAGGCGGAAUUCGUGGUGUAGCGGUGAAAUGCUUAGAUAUCACGAAGAACUCCGAUUGCGAAGGCAGCCUGCUAAGCUGCAACUGACAUUGAGGCUCGAAAGUGUGGGUAUCAAACAGGAUUAGAUACCCUGGUAGUCCACACGGUAAACGAUGAAUACUCGCUGUUUGCGAUAUACUGCAAGCGGCCAAGCGAGAGCGUUAAGUAUUCCACCUGGGGAGUACGCCGGCAACGGUGAAACUCAAAGGAAUUGACGGGGGCCCGCACAAGCGGAGGAACAUGUGGUUUAAUUCGAUGAUACGCGAGGAACCUUACCCGGGCUUAAAUUGCAGAUGAAUUACGGUGAAAGCCGUAAGCCGCAAGGCAUCUGUGAAGGUGCUGCAUGGUUGUCGUCAGCUCGUGCCGUGAGGUGUCGGCUUAAGUGCCAUAACGAGCGCAACCCUUGUUGUCAGUUACUAACAGGUUCCGCUGAGGACUCUGACAAGACUGCCAUCGUAAGAUGUGAGGAAGGUGGGGAUGACGUCAAAUCAGCACGGCCCUUACGUCCGGGGCUACACACGUGUUACAAUGGGGGGUACAGAGGGCCGCUACCACGCGAGUGGAUGCCAAUCCCAAAAACCUCUCUCAGUUCGGACUGGAGUCUGCAACCCGACUCCACGAAGCUGGAUUCGCUAGUAAUCGCGCAUCAGCCACGGCGCGGUGAAUACGUUCCCGGGCCUUGUACACACCGCCCGUCAAGCCAUGGGAGCCGGGGGUACCAGAAGUGCGUAACCGCGAGGAGCGCCCUAGGGUAAAACUGGU